GCAAAGGGUAAUUUUUGGGCCUGUGGUAACACAUCCCUUACUCUGCUGACAUGACCAUGGAGACAUGGACAUCCUCACACGGGCCAGAUGCAGCUGAAGGCCCAGUGUAAGUCCUCAUGAGAAUAUCCUUCCAGCUGAUAAAGGGAGGAUCAGCCAUUUUACAUCUUCCCCCAAAGGUACAGAAAGAAGCAGAUGGCAUCUCAUGGAAAAGAGACUGACCAGGAGCCUGGAGGCUCAGACUUAAGCCUUAGCAGGUGACCUGGGGUCAGGAUGAUUCUCAGGAAUGGCUGCUCCUAGGAGCAGCAGAGAAGCGGGAAGUCUGGGAAGAAAGCCCUUCAAGCCUGGCCUGCAGCGGCUUCUCCUCCUGGGUGCCAAUGCUCUUGACAGGCCACAGAGCCCCGGUUCCAGCCAUGCAUCGUGUGACGAAAGAGGUGGUACAAGGUACAGCAAAUAAACUUACCAUGUUUCCCGUCCGACCGCAAAGCCCGACUGCCCAAUAGAGCCAUCUCAGUUCCACUGCAAUUUUUGCAGGUAAAAUUUUCAGUCAGCCACCAGAGGGUGCCCACAGAGCUCUCUGAAAAUGACCAAAUCCUGCAGAAUUAGAAAAUUUCCAGUGUAUCUAAAACUAAUACCAAAGAUAGCUCCCUCACAUAUGACUGGGAGUGAUGCACAGGCCAGCUAAGGAGCUGCAAGUUUGCAGGGGAUGAA
ensembl:lncRNA